rnacentral:tRNA from 1 species
UAGGAAGUGGUGUAGUGGAAGCACUGAGAGUUUUGAUCUCUCCAGGGAGGGUUCGAGG